rnacentral:lncRNA from 1 species
UUCCAUCACAAAAAAAAUGAAGAUGACAAUCCUAUAGACACUAAUUCUGAUUACAACAAAACAUCAUCCUAUUCCAAUGAUCAAUUUUCUGGUGGUGACUAUGGUGGUGGAUACUCUGACAACCAAGGAACCACCGGUGGUGGCUAUGGUGGAGGAUACUCUGACAACCAAGGAACCACCGGUGGUACCUAUGGUGGAGGAUACUCUGACAACCAAGGAACCACCGGUGGUGGCUAUGGUGAUGGAUAUUCUGACACCAAAGCAACCACUGGUGGUGGUUAUGGUGGUGAUGGAUAUGGUGACAAAUACUCCAACACCCAAACCACUGGUGGUGGCUAUGGUGACGGAUACUCUAACACAGCCACCGGUGGUGAUGGCUAUGGUGACGGAUACUCCAACACCAAAACAUCGACCGGUGGCGGCUAUGGUGAUGGUGGUUAUGGCGAUAAUACCGAUCGACGUGACGAUGAUGAAAAUUAUAAGAAGGAGGAGAAACACCACAAGCGUUUUGAGCAUGUUGGUGAAUUAGGUGCUGCAACUGCUGGUGGUUUUGCUUUGGUAAUUUUCUUUCAUUUUCACCAAUACUACUAGCUAUUUCACUUGCAAUUAUUUAGAUUAAACUAACAAUUGUAAAGUGAGAGACUCUUUUUAAAUAAGUUCAUUUUCAAAUCAUGUUUUAACGUGACACUAAUAAUUUAUUUGAUUUUUCAAAAUUAAAAUGAAGAAUUUCUAUAUAACCAUUCUAAAAUUUUAAAUUUACAUGUAAUUAAUGUUUCGUUUUAGUUCUUCAUGGUUUGGAAAAUUCUGUCCUAGAAAAAAAUCAGCCGUUAAAUUUAUUCAUUAAUGAAUUUUUUAUCUAUGAUUUUUUGUUUUUAAUUAAGAUACAUGAAUGAUUGAAUCUCUAAAACCACUUGUAGAGUAUCCCUUUUAACACAACCACUUAAUUUAAUUUAGUUUAGUAAGAUUCAUAUUCAAUAAUAAGUGGACUAAGUGAGAUUCUGGGAACAAAUUAAGGAUAAAUAUUGUAAUUGCAUAAUAAUAGAAAAACUACUAAUAAGGAAUCAAACUCUCCGGAUCUAUCAUUUAUGUACUUGUGUGUGAUAAUUGCUUGAUAUAAUAUAUAUAUAGUAUG